GAUGAAGAACGUAGCGAAAUGCGAUAAGUAAUGUGAAUUGCAGAAUUCAGUGAAUCAUCGAAUCUUUGAACGCACAUUGCGCCCGCCAGCACUCUGGCGGGCAUGCCUGUUCGAGCGUCAUUUCAACCAUCAAGCCCCCAGGGGCUUGUGCUGGGGCCCUGCGGCUGCCCGCAGGCCCUGAAAACCAGUGGCGGGCUCGCUAGUCCCACCGAGCGCAGUAGCCCAUCUCGCUCAGGGCGUGCGGCGGGCUCCUGCCGUGAAACCCCCCACUGUAACCCCAAAGGUUGACCUCGGAUCAGGUAGGAAUACCCGCUGAACUUAAGCAUAUCAAUAAGCGGAGGA
rnacentral:misc_RNA from 1 species